UGGGGAAUAUUGGACAAUGGGGGCAACCCUGAUCCAGCCAUGCCGCGUGUGUGAAGAAGGCCUUAGGGUUGUAAAGCACUUUCAGUAGGGAGGAAAAGUUAAUGGCAAAUACCCAUUAACCGUGACGUUACCUACAGAAGAAGCACCGGCAAACUCCGUGCCAGCAGCCGCGGUAAUACGGAGGGUGCGAGCGUUAAUCGGAAUUACUGGGCGUAAAGCGCGCGUAGGCGGCCUGAUAAGUUGGAUGUGAAAGCCCCGGGCUUAACCUGGGAACUGCAUUCAAAACUGUCAGGCUAGAGUAUGGUAGAGGAUAGUGGAAUUUCAGGUGUAGCGGUGAAAUGCGUAGAGAUCUGAAGGAACAUCAGUGGCGAAGGCGGCUAUCUGGACCAAUACUGACGCUGAGGUGCGAAAGCGUGGGGAUCAAACAGGAUUAGAUACCCUGGUAGUCCACGCCGUAAACGAUGUCAACUAGCCGUAGGGGGGCUUGUCCCUUUUGUGGCGCAGCUAACGCAGUAAGUUGACCGCCUGGGGAGUACGAUCGCAAGAUUA
rnacentral:rRNA from 1 species